ACGUUGUAAUCGAUAAUUACCUAGAGCAGCCAUCGAUAGUGUCGCGCAGAAAUCAAUGUUGUACCAGCUCUAACAGCGAGUGCUGAUCUGAGCGAAUUUGGUUGAUUUCAUUUGCUUUUGUUUUAAAUUAUUCGUGUCGUCGCGAUCGGAUCGGAUCGGAUUCCCCCAUAACCUUUAAGCGUACCGCCUAUACUUCAAGUGAAAUGUCGCUGAAUCCGCAGUACGAGGACAUUGGCAAGGGAUUUGUGCAGCAGUACUAUGCGAUAUUCGAUGACCCGGCGAAUCGGGCGAACGUGGUUAAUUUCUACAGCGCUACAGACUCUUUCAUGACCUUUGAGGGCCACCAAAUACAGGGAGCACCCAAGAUUCUGGAAAAAGUUCAGAGUCUGAGCUUUCAGAAGAUUACCAGAGUGAUAACCACAGUGGACUCGCAGCCUACCUUCGAUGGCGGAGUUCUGAUCAACGUCCUUGGAAGACUACAGACCGACGAGGAUCAGCCGCAUGCCUACAUUCAGACCUUCGUAUUGAAGCCGGUGGGCGGCAGUUUCUUUGUGCAGCACGAUAUAUUUCGGCUGUCGCUGCACGAUGUGUAGCGCCAGCGACCCCGAUCUGCCACGCCCAGUCUACAGAUUCCAGCGCCCGGCCAUAUAUGUGUAAAUCGAGAUCAAGAUCGAGAUCGAGAUCAGCAGCCAAACGAUCAGCCAGCAGAGAUGCAGAGACAAGACCCAGUUAAAAAACGAAAGAAAACAAUAUCUAACCGAUAAGAUAGUUCUGCUGUUUGUCGACCUUAUGCCGCCCAGCCACGCCACUCCGCCCACACAUGCCAAAAAAAAAUAUUUAUCCUUGGCGUCUCGUCGUCGUACAAUUUCUUCUAAUUAUCCUCACAUGCGAUGACGAUCCCCCACACGCCUACUCGCAGGUCUUUGUCCUGAAGGCCAACGCAGGCACCUUCUUCGUGGCCCACGACAUCUUCCGCCUGAACAUCCACAACUCUGCCUAGGAGCUCUGCACUCCCCUACACUUGCACACCACUCAGCAGCACACACAACCGACAUCCAAAGAUGCCCAGCCUAACGAUAACAACAAGCUCGUCGGUGGAACUCAGCAAAAAGAAUAACAAAGCCAAGCGCGGUCUCACGUUUAUCAGUAAAUCCAAAAGUUAGAACAAGAACAAAAACACACAAUAAACAAAAAAAAAAGAAAUUAUACGCUAACUACUAUUACGAUGUCAACAAAAUGGGCCGCCAGCUCACCUUCAUUUGUGUCCCAUUGUGCCUGGUACUCUCGUUUUACGCUCGACGAUGCACGAGGCCCCCAGAAUUCUAUGUUCCGCAAACACCUGCAUCUCGCGAUCCAAUUUAGCUAGGGCUAUCGAAUUUGGUAUGUGUCCAGCUGCAGCUACGAGUUCGGAUUCGGGAAUUCGAAUUCCCCGAAAACAAGCAGGAACAGCUGGCCACCUUACCAACUCACCACCUAAGUUUAAAUUGAUUUUCUAGACCUUUUUAUAUUUCCAAUUAAAUUACUUGUACUGUAAUUAUGAGGACUAUUUUAGAUAACCGUAUUGCAAAUGUAUUGUGUCGGAUGUCCCGCUUUUUAAACGAUUACCUGAGUACCGGGACUGCCACACAGUCGGGAGUAUUGACUCUAGCUUUCUUGUAUGACUAAUUGAGCGAUGGUGAAUUACUUUUUAUUGAGACAAAAAAAAAAAAAACACUUAAAUAUAAAGAUUAACGUUAA